AUUGAACGCUGGCGGCAGGCCUAACACAUGCAAGUCGAGCGGAUGAAGGGAGCUUGCUCCUGGAUUCAGCGGCGGACGGGUGAGUAAUGCCUAGGAAUCUGCCUGGUAGUGGGGGAUAACGUCCGGAAACGGGCGCUAAUACCGCAUACGUCCUGAGGGAGAAAGUGGGGGAUCUUCGGACCUCACGCUAUCAGAUGAGCCUAGGUCGGAUUAGCUAGUGGGUGGGGUAAAGGCCUACCAAGGCGACGAUCCGUAACUGGUCUGAGAGGAUGAUCAGUCACACUGGAACUGAGACACGGUCCAGACUCCUACGGGAGGCAGCAGUGGGGAAUAUUGGACAAUGGGCGAAAGCCUGAUCCAGCCAUGCCGCGUGUGUGAAGAAGGUCUUCGGAUUGUAAAGCACUUUAAGUUGGGAGGAAGGGCAGUAAGUUAAUACCUUGCUGUUUUGACGUUACCAAAAGAAUAAGCACCGGCUAACUUCGUG
rnacentral:rRNA from 1 species